GGCAGUCAUGACUCUUUCUCUAUAAAUAGACCUCGUGCUGUUCGUUCUCUCUGCACCAACACACUAAGCAACACUCGUUUCUUUCUCAUUCCCUCAGUGUCGAAGCUUCUCUCAAACUCCCCUUCAACUCAAUCAAUGGCCAGUGCUCAGGUUUCAAAACCUCAGACCGAAUUUCCAGAAAUCGAAGCAGCUGACGCAACGAUGACUGAAGAGACGAUUGCAGGAUUGGAACCAGCCACUGAUCAUCAUGGCGAGAUUCCUCCAGAGGAUGAAGUAGAGGAAGCCGAUGAGGUCGAAGACGAGGAGCCACCAGAGGAAGAAACCAAAGAAACUAAUGAAAAAGUCACCGAAGAACCAUUUGCAUCACUGGAAGAAGACGAGAAUCCCCUCGAAGAAGAGGAAGACUAGAUCUUUUGUGCGAUAUAGGUGCAUGGAAUUCUCUGUUAUGCCCUAUGUUGUCUUUCUUAUCAAUUAUCAUGCAUGUCAGACUCGGUGAGAGUGAGACUUGUAUUGUUCUGUUUUAGUCAUAUGGAUGUAAUCUCCAAGGUUUGUUGUAUCAUUUGUUAACAUGUUGCUUUUUCCUUGA